rnacentral:tRNA from 1 species
GUCUCCGUAGCUCAGCUGGACAGAGCAACCCCCUCCUAAGGGGUAGGUCGCAGGUUCGAAUCCUGCCGGGGACG